UGAGCAACUUUAAUGGUUAUCCCAGGAA
rnacentral:piRNA from 1 species